GCUGGGUGCAGUGGCCUGUGCCUGUAGCCCCGGCUACUCGGGAGGCUGAGGCUGGAGGACCACUUGAGUUCAGGAGUUCCGGGUUGUGGUGUGCUAUGCCGAUCAGGUGUCUGCACUAAGUUUGAUAUCAAUAUAGUGACCUCCCGGGAGCGGAGGACCACCAGGUUACCUAAGGAGGGGUGAACCAGCCCAGGUCGGAAACGGAGCAGAUCAAAACUCUCGUGCUGGCUGGACGCGGUGGCUCAAGCCUGUAAUCCCAGCACUUUGGGAGGCCGAGGCGGGUGGAUCA
rnacentral:SRP_RNA from 1 species